CAAACCGGGAGAUAGCUGGUUCUCCCCGAAAGCUAUUUAGGUAGCGCCUCGUGAAUUCAUCUCCGGGGGUAGAGCACUGUUUCGGCAAGGGGGUCAUCCCGACUUACCAACCCGAUGCAAACUGCGAAUACCGGAGAAUGUUAUCACGGGAGACACACGGCGGGUGCUAACGUCCGUCGUGAAGAGGGAAACAACCCAGACCGCCAGCUAAGGUCCCAAAGUCAUGGUUAAGUGGGAAACGAUGUGGGAAGGCCCAGACAGCCAGGAUGUUGGCUUAGAAGCAGCCAUCAUUUAAAGAAAGCGUAAUAGCUCACUGGUCGAGUCGGCCUGCGCGGAAGAUGUAACGGGGCUAAACCAUGCACCGAAGCUGCGGCAGCGACACUAUGUGUUGUUGGGUAGGGGAGCG
rnacentral:rRNA from 1 species